GGCAUAUAAACACGUGAAGCCCCGGCCAGUCACACCAGUAGCCCAGUCCUACUAAAGGGGAAAGCUGUAUCACCUUGUCUAUCGAGGCUUUUCAUCAGCCAUGGCUAAACUCAAGAUCAAAGUGGUGUAUUGCGGUGCCUGAGGCUACGCCUCCAAGUUCAGGGCGCUGAAACAGCAACUUGAAUCUGAAUUUCCUGAUCAGCUGGAUAUUGCUAGUGAAGGAACACCUCAAAUGACUGGCUACUUUGAAGUCACUGUUGGAGACAAACUUGUUCACACAAAGAAGGGUGGUGACGGUUAUGUCGACAAUGAGAAGAAGUAUAACAAGAUCGCCGAUGCUGUCCAUGAUGCCCUGGGCGACUAAAUAGUUACAUACCUGGGCCCCUCUCAUCUCUGAUAUGGUGGUGACAGUCCUGGUGGCAUGACUACAAAGGAUGAAGCAGUUAGCUGAAAGCCUCUUGAGGACUGGCUCACUGUGGAAGGAAGUGUGUGCCUGCCAUAUAUAUGCUGGGGUGGUCUCCAGUGUGUGAGAGAGAGAGAGGAGGCCACUCACUGUGUCGUCUCAUGUUCAUUAGUGCAGAUGUUACAUUAAACUCUUUUUACUAAAAUUUCAACUCUGCAAUAUGUUUAUUUUAAUUAGAUUUUGUAAUUUAAAUAAACACAUUUUAAACAAAACCAUUUAUGUAAAUUUGAAGUAGUGUAAGUUUUACAGCUCAUAAAGGCAACACAUUACCUUGCAAAAUAAAUAUAUUUUGAGAA